UACGUAGGGGGCAAGCGUUGUCCGGAUUCAUUGGGCGUAAAGAGCGUGUAGGCGGCCAGGUAGGUCCGUUGUGAAAACUCGAGGCUCAACCUCGAGAUGUCGGCGGAAACCAUCUGGCUAGAGUCCGGAAGAGGAGAAUGGAAUUCCCGGUGUAGCGGUGAAAUGCGCAGAUAUCGGGAAGAACACCCGUGGCGAAGGCGGUUCUCUGGGACGGUACUGACGCUGAGACGCGAAAGCGUGGGGAGCGAACAGG
rnacentral:rRNA from 1 species